ACCCACAAAGCCUGAGGAGAAAAGGGGCCUGGGAGCAGCUCUUUCUGCCUUGUCUUCUCUCGUGCCCACAGACAGCUAUAGCAACAGUUUUCACAGCGAUAUGGUUGUGCUUCAGGUGUAUGUGACUCAUCACAGGGGAAUUCUGUUGCUGGAUCAAUCCUUGACUUAGAAGCAGUGUUUUUGCUAUGCAUGCAUGCCUGCCAGGCAACAUUCACGCUGAUGGAAGGGCUCCACGCAGGUGGUACCUAUCUGCAUUUUUAUGCAAGCUGACAAUUAUUCCCAUUUCCAGCUGGACAACAACUUUGUUACCAAAACUCAGCCCAUUUUGAAAGUUGUCCACAGCACUAGGAAACCUUGAGGCACAGAGAGCUGAAUACCUGGGCUGCAGGUUGGUGUUUGAAAAUGAGAUGCCUGUUCCCAUCAGAGUAAAACUGAAGGCACGGUGUUACUCUCUGUCACAACGCCUAGGCUGAUCAUAGAAUCACUGAAUCAUUAAGGUUGGAAAAAACCUCUAAGAUCACCUAGUCCAACCGUCAACCCAUCGCUGCUGUACCCUGCAACCCCAUCUCUCAGUGCCACAUCUCCAGGGUUCUUGAACACCCCCAGGGAUGGUGACUCCACCACCUCCCUGGGCAGCCUGUGCCACUGCCUCACCACUUUUUCUGAGAAGAAGUUUUUCCUAAUAGCCAACCUCAACCUCCCCUGGUGAAACUUGAAGCUAUUACCCCUCAUCCUAUCACUGUUACCUGGGAGAAGAGGCCGACCCCCACCUUGCUAUAACCUCCUUUCAGGCAGUUGUAGAGAGCACUAAGAUCUUCUCUGAGCCUCCUCUUCUCUAGACUAAACAAUCCCAGUUCUCUUAGCUGCUCCUCAUUAACAUUCUUUAGUUAUGAUUAGGGCAGGUUAAACUACUAGCUCUUCAGAUAUUUUGGUAAUACCAUGGAGAAGUUCAGGCUGACCAGCUC
rnacentral:lncRNA from 1 species